UGGGGAAUAUUGCACAAUGGGCGAAAGCCUGAUGCAGCGACGCCGCGUGAGUGAAGAAGUAUUUCGGUAUGUAAAGCUCUAUCAGCAGGGAAGAAAAUGACGGUACCUGACCAGAAGCCCCGGCUAACUACGUGCCAGCAGCCGCGGUAAUACGUAGGGGGCAAGCGUUAUCCGGAUUUACUGGGUGUAAAGGGAGCGUAGACGGCGAAGCAAGUCUGAAGUGAAAACCCAGGGCUCAACCCUGGGACUGCUUUGGAAACUGUUUUGCUAGAGUGUCGGAGAGGUAAGUGGAAUUCCUAGUGUAGCGGUGAAAUGCGUAGAUAUUAGGAGGAACACCAGUGGCGAAGGCGGCUUACUGGACGAUAACUGACGUUGAGGCUCGAAAGCGUGGGGAGCAAACAGG
rnacentral:rRNA from 1 species